rnacentral:rRNA from 1 species
AUUGGUCAAUGGACGAGAGUCUGAACCAGCCAAGUAGCGUGAAGGAUGACUGCCCUAUGGGUNGUAAACUUCUUUUAUAUGGGAANNCCNNNANUUACGUGUAGCUUUUUGUAUGUACCAUAUGAAUAAGNNNCNGNUAACUCCGUGCCAGCAGCCGCGGUAAUACGGAGGAUCCGAGCGUUAUCCGGAUUUAUUGGGUUUAAAGGGAGCGUAGGCGGGUUGUUAAGUCAGUUGUGAAAGUUUGCGGCUCAACCGUAAAAUUGCAGUUGAUACUGGCAUCCUUGAGUACAGUAGAGGUAGGCGGAAUUCGUGGUGUAGCGGUGAAAUGCUUAGAUAUCACGAAGAACUCCGAUUGCGAAGGCAGCCUGCUGGACUGUAACUGACGCUGAUGCUCGAAAGUGUGGGUAUCAAACAG